UACGGAGGAUGCGAGCGUUAUCCGGAUUUAUUGGGUUUAAAGGGUGCGUAGGCGGACGAUCAAGUCAGCGGUCAAAUGUCGGGGCUUAACCCCGGCCUGCCGUUGAAACUGGUUGUCUUGAGUGAGCGAGAGGUAUGCGGAAUGCGUGGUGUAGCGGUGAAAUGCAUAGAUAUCACGCAGAACCCCGAUUGCGAAGGCAGCAUACCGGUGCUCAACUGACGCUGAUGCACGAAAGCGUGGGGAUCAAACAGG
rnacentral:rRNA from 1 species